rnacentral:lncRNA from 1 species
UGUGGUUUCACAUGGCAACCGUUGAGUAUGCAGCCAUGCCGGAUUUAUCCUCUUUGUUUACUAAUCUGAGCCUCAAAUUGUUUUAUCUUAAUUUUUAAUCAUUCGUUUAAACUUGACUCGAUUCAAGUAGCUCAUGAGCGGCUUAGCUCGUUUACAGCCCUAGCAAUACUCUAUGAUGAUGACGAUGGUGGAGGUGGUGAUGAUGAUAUAGAUAACAGGUCCUAUGCAGAGCCUUAUUUCACAUUGCAAUAGGUAAUCUUGGUUAAUUUACUUUUGAAUUGUUUAAUUCGGGUAUGUAUACUUCUAGCGG